rnacentral:misc_RNA from 1 species
GCAAACUUGGUCAUUUAGAGGAAGUAAAAGUCGUAACAAGGUUUCCGUAGGUGAACCUGCGGAAGGAUCAUUAACGAGAUUCGUCGGGGGCGGUGCCGGAUGACGUGCACGCCUCCUUCAAACCCUCAUCCAUUCACCCCUGUGCACCUCUAUGAGAUCGGUGGGGAGCGUUUCUCUCUCCCCCUGAUCUGACUCAUCUUGACACUGCAAAAGCGAGGGAACGUGUGGAUCAUAACGAAUACAUAACUUUCAACAACGGAUCUCUUGGUUCUCGCAUCGAUGAAGAACGCAGC